rnacentral:rRNA from 1 species
AUUGAACGCUGGCGGCAUGCUUUACACAUGCAAGUCGAACGGGCUGGGGGCAACUCCAGUCAGUGGCGAACGGGUGAGUAAUGCAUCGGAACGUGUCCCGUAGUGGGGAGUAACCCGGCGAAAGCCGGACUAAUACCGCAUAUGCUCUACGGAGGAAAGUGGGGGACCGCAAGGCCUCACGCUAUGGGAGCGGCCGAUGUCCGAUUAGCUUGUUGGUGGGGUAAUGGCCUACCAAGGCGACGAUCGGUAGCUGGUCUGAGAGGUUGGCCGGCGACAUUGGGACUGAGACACUGCCCAGACUCCUACGGGGGGCUGCAGUAACGAAUCUUCCGCAAUGCACGAAAGUGUGACGGAGCGACGCCGCGUGUAGG